UACGGGGGGAGCAAGCGUUGUUCGGAAUUACUGGGCGUAAAGGGCGCGUAGGCGGCCUCUUAAGUCGAACGUGAAAUCCCCGGGCUCAACCCGGGAACUGCGUCCGAUACUGGGAGGCUUGAAUCCGGGAGAGGGAUGUGGAAUUCCAGGUGUAGCGGUGAAAUGCGUAGAUAUCUGGAGGAACACCGGUGGCGAAGGCGGCAUCCUGGACCGGUAUUGACGCUGAGGCGCGAAAGCUAGGGGAGCAAACGGG
rnacentral:rRNA from 1 species